rnacentral:lncRNA from 1 species
UCAGAGCUGGGUGAACAGCAGUUUUAUUUUAUCUAGGUUGAGGCAAUUGUGAAUGACUUUUACUGUGCCAUUGCUCUUCAUGGUGGGAUUACAAACAGUGUGAUUAUUCUCGGUGUGUUUGUAUAUACAUCUGUGCAUAUGUGAUGGGCACUGUGUUUAUACAUAAAUGCCUGUAUAUAUACCAUUUGAAAGUCCUUGUCAGGAUUGUUUCUGUUUCUGAUCUGGUCUCUUAAAUACUUUAAAACUCAAGAGGUAAAACAUUGUGUGUAUUAUAGGCAAAACUACCCUUGAGUUUAUG